AUUCAUUCAUUCAUUCAUGUGUGAUGUGUGUGUCAUCUUGUAUCUGCGCUCACAUAUAAGCUAUGGUGUGGAUGUGGAGAUCAAAGGACAGUGUUUGGGAGUUGGUUCUCCCAAGAGCCGAGCCUCUUAUAGCCUCCCCGUGCAGCUGUGUGCACAGUUCAAGUGGGAGGGGCUGGCUCCUGGAUAGCUUCCUAUGGCUGGAGAGAAGGUUCUAAAGCAGGAGUCUGUAGCUGUUCAGUGGAUCUUGGGGUUGCAGGGAGAAAUCUAGUCUUUUGCCCAGGAUUAAACUAUUUAGUGUUGCUUGGUUCACUUUGUGGCUCUGGUUCCAGAACUGAAGAGAGUUCCUUCUCACAGCCUUCCUUCAGUAACAUUGCACAGCAUUCUGUGGUGUGGGGACAUGAGGGACACUGCCAUUUGUGCCCCAUGUGAUAUGUGACUUAUUUUGCCAGUUGAAGGUAAAAUCUGGCAAUUUGGGAUAAGCGUGGAGUGACUGAACUGAAUAAAAGUUAUUUCUUC
rnacentral:lncRNA from 1 species